ACAUGCCUACAGCAUAGCGUUAAUGCACUAGAUCCCAUUAGAACUCUGUAGUUAAGCGCACUCAGGCUAGAGCAGUAUUGGGAUGGGUGACCUACCGAUAAGUCUUGAUGUUUUACAUGCC
rnacentral:rRNA from 1 species